GACGAACGCUGGCGGCGUGCUUAACACAUGCAAGUCGAACGGUGAAGGUGGAGCUUGCUCCGCCGGAUCAGUGGCGAACGGGUGAGUAACACGUGGGCAACCUGCCCCAGACUUCGGGAUAACUCCUCGAAAGAGGUGCUAAUACCGGAUACGAGUUCUGCAGGCAUCUGCGGAAUUGGAAAGUUUUUCGGUCUGGGAUGGGCCCGCGGCCUAUCAGCUUGUUGGUGAGGUAACGGCUCACCAAGGCGAC
rnacentral:rRNA from 1 species